UUUGCUGAUGACCCCCAGGAACAACAAGUGUCUCACUAACGCCAUCUUCACAGCUCUCUGACA
rnacentral:snoRNA from 1 species